rnacentral:misc_RNA from 1 species
GAUGAAGAACGCAGCGAAAUGCGAUAAGUAGUGUGAAUUGCAGAAUUCCGUGAAUCAUCGAAUCUUUGAACGCACAUUGCGCCUUCUGGUAUUCCGGAAGGCAUGCCUGUUCGAGAGUCAUUAACAACCGUUUCGAUCCCUUUCUUUCAGAAAUUACAAAGAGGAAAAGGGUUUGGUUAUGGUGGAGGAGGGAAAGGGAGCGUUUAGCCUGUAAAAAAAGAGGCUGUGUUCCGCCUCCCCCCCAAAAUUGUACAGGCGGUCGUGUGCGCCCACGCGUCGAGGUGUUGUAAAAGCUGCCACGGCACUUUUCACCUGUGCAGUGCGAGAUUGGCCAGCCGGUUUAAAAACCCCUCCAAACAAUCAAAGGUUGACCUCGGAUCAGGUAGGGAUACCCGCUGAACUUAAGCAUAUCAAUAAGCGGAGGA